AAGUCGUAACAAGGUUUCCGUAGGUGAACCUGCGGAAGGAUCAUUUACAAGAUAUUUGGCUAUUUAUAGCCAUUAGCUCAGGGUCGCAAGACCUUGAUGUUUACGCUUGCGUGUUUGACAAAUUAUUUAUAUGAGAAAUUAUGACAACUUUAAACAAUGGAUCUCUUGGCUCUUGCAUCGAUGAAGAAC
rnacentral:misc_RNA from 1 species